UGUCCCCUACGGGACGCAGCAGUGAGGAAUAUUGGUCAAUGGCCGAGAGGCUGAACCAGCCAAGUCGCGUGAGGGAAGACGGCCCUACGGGUUGUAAACCUCUUUUGUCGGGGAGCAAAGCGAGUCACGUGUGACUCAUUGAGAGUACCCGAAGAAAAAGCAUCGGCUAACUCCGUGCCAGCAGUCGCGGUAAUACGGAGGAUGCGAGCGUUAUCCGGAUUUAUUGGGUUUAAAGGGUGCGCAGGCGGAGGUGCAAGUCAGUAGUGAAAUCCAUGGGCUUAACCCAUGAACUGCUAUUGAAACUG
rnacentral:rRNA from 1 species